rnacentral:lncRNA from 1 species
CGGACAGCGUGAUGAGUCCCAGAUGUUGUUAACACACACCAAAAGCAGAGAAAGAAUAAAAUCCAAAGGUCAACGAUAACAGCUAUGGAGGACUGUGCUUAGUUUACAUUCUCAUGUUGAUAGAUGAAGAAUGUUGGGUUUUGGUCAAGGGCUUAUAAAGCUGUUGAACUUUACAGUUCUUUACAGGACUGCUUGAACGCAAUGAAACAUUGCCAUUUGACAGUUCUUGCGUCAAUGUUGAUUGAGCCAUGCAUAUUUGAUUCUCAUCUAUAAAUAAAUACCAACCUCUCAGGUAAGU